rnacentral:rRNA from 1 species
UACGUAGGGGGCAAGCGUUGUCCGGAUUUACUGGGCGUAAAGAGCGUGUAGGCGGCCAAAACAGGUCCGUUGUGAAAACUGGAGGCUCAACUUCCAGACGUCGACGGAAACCGUGUGGCUAGAGUCCGGAAGAGGAGAGUGGAAUUCCUGGUGUAGCGGUGAAAUGCGCAGAUAUCAGGAGGAACACCAAUGGCGAAGGCAGCUCGCUGGAACGGUACUGACGCUGAGGCGCGAAAGCGUGGGGAGCGAACAGG